rnacentral:rRNA from 1 species
UACAGAGGGGGCAAGCGUUGUUCGGAAUUACUGGGCGUAAAGGGCGCGUAGGCGGCCUGCUAAGUCGAACGUGAAAUCCCCGGGCUCAACCCGGGAACUGCGUCCGAUACUGGUUGGCUUGAAUCCGGGAGAGGGAUGCGGAAUUCCAGGUGUAGCGGUGAAAUGCGUAGAUAUUCGGAGGAACACCAGUGGCGAAGGCGGCUCACUGGCUCGAUACUGACGCUGAGGUGCGAAAGCGUGGGGAGCAAACAGG